rnacentral:rRNA from 1 species
GACGAACGCUGGCGGCGUGCCUAAUACAUGCAAGUCGAGCGCAGGAAAUCGACGGAACCCUUCGGGGGGAAGUCGACGGAAUGAGCGGCGGACGGGUGAGUAACACGUAAAGAACCUGCCCUCAGGUCUGGGAUAACCACGAGAAAUCGGGGCUAAUACCGGAUGGGUCAUCGGACCGCAUGGUCCGAGGAUGAAAGGCGCUUCGGCGUCUCCUGGGGAUGGCUUUGCGGUGCAUUAGCGAGUUGGUGGGGUAAUGGCCCACCAAGGCGACGAUGCGUAGCCGUCCGGAGAGGGUGAUGGGCCAUACUGGGACUGAGACACGGACCAGACUCCUACGGGAGGCAGUAGUAGGGAAUCGUCCAGAGUGGUCGAAGGUCUGAUGGAGCAACGCCGCGUGAACGAUGAAGGCCUUCGGGUCGUAAAGUUCUGUUGUAAGGGAAGAACAAGAGCCGCAGGCAAUGGCGGCACCUUGACGGUACCUUGCGAGAAAGCCACGGCUAACUACGUGCCAGCAGCCGCAGUAA